UACGUAGGGGGCAAGCGUUGUCCGGAUUUAUUAGGCGUAAAGAGCGUGUAGGCGGCCAUGUAGGUCCGUUGUGAAAACUCGAGGCUCAACCUCGAGACGCCGAUGGAAACCAUGUGGCUAGAGUCCGGAAGAGGAGAGUGGAAUUCCUGGUGUAGCGGUGAAAUGCGCAGAUAUCAGGAGGAACACCGGUGGCGAAGGCGGGGUCUCUGGGCCGAUACUGACGUGAGGAGCGAAAGCGUGGGGGAGCGAACAGG
rnacentral:rRNA from 1 species